CAGUAGCCACGGUAAUACGAACCGUGCGAACGUUAUUCGGAAUUACUGGGCUUAAAGCGCGUGUAGGCGGGCCGCCACGUCGGUUGCUGAAAUCCCCCGGCUCAACCGGGGAAGUGGCAUCGAUACGAGCGGCCUUGAGGGGGGUAGGGGGAUCUGGAACUUCCGGUGGAGCGGUGAAAUACGUUGAGAUCGGAAGGAACGCCCGUGGCGAAAGCGAGGUCCUGGACCCUUUCUGACGCUGAGACGCGAAAGCCAGGGGAGCGAACGGGAUUAGAUACCCCAGUAGUCCCUGUCUCUUAUU
rnacentral:rRNA from 1 species